AUUGCCUCAGUAACGGCGAGUGAAGCGGCAACAGCUCAAAUUUGAAAUCUGGCCCUAGGCCCGAGUUGUAAUUUGCAGAGGAUGCUUUUGGCGAGGUGCCUUCCGAGUUCCCUGGAACGGGACGCCAUAGAGGGUGAGAGCCCCGUCUGGUCGGACACCGAGCCUCUGUAAAGCUCCUUCGACGAGUCGAGUAGUUUGGGAAUGCUGCUCUAAAUGGGAGGUAUAUGUCUUCUAAAGCUAAAUACCGGCCAGAGACCGAUAGCGCACAAGUAGAGUGAUCGAAAGAUGAAAAGCACUUUGAAAAGAGAGUUAAAUAGCACGUGAAAUUGUUGAAAGGGAAGCGUUUACGACCAGACUUGGGCCGGUUGAUCAUCCAGCGUUCUCGCUGGUGCACUCUGCCGGCCCAGGCCAGCAUCAGUUCGCCCCGGGGGAUAAAGGCGGCGGGAAUGUGGCUCCUCGGAGUGUUAUAGCCCGCCGUGCAAUACCCUGAGGUGGACUGAGGUUCGCGCUCUGCAAGGAUGCUGGCGUAAUGGUCGUCAACGACCCGUCUUGAAACACGGACCAAGGAGUCGUCUUCGUAUGCGAGUGUUCGGGUGUAAAACCCCUACGCGUAAUGAAAGUGAACGCAGGUGAGAGCUUCGGCGCAUCAUCGACCGAUCCUGAUGUUCUCGGAUGGAUUUGAGUAAGAGCAUACGGGGCCGGACCCGAAAGAAGGUGAACUAUGCCUGUAUAGGGUGAAGCCAGAGGAAACUCUGGUGGAGGCUCGCAGCGGUUCUGACGUGCAAAUCGAUCGUCAAAUAUGGGCAUGGGGGCGAAAGACUAAU
rnacentral:rRNA from 1 species